AUAUUAAUACGCCUUGUGUGUGUGUGCGCACGGUGAGGCCACGUCACACAAAUCACAGGUCACUUUCUUACGACGUGGCGUUACGCUAAAAUUUACCAAGUUAAAGAAAACGCAAAUCAGGGGGUUACUAUAUAAAUAUUUAAUUCUCUUUUCUUAUUUUUUUUUUAAAAUAAAACUCUUUUUCCUUACUCAUUAAAAUUAAUUUUUAUUUUAAUUUCAAAUGGUUUUAUUUGUUUUUUUGUUGUAAAAGCCCGCUGGUCGUUUAAGAUAGAAUAAUUAAAUUUUACCCCCGGUUUACCAUGUGCGCGCCGUAUCUCACGGAAACAAAGUUUAUUAACUGAAAAAUGAAAACCGAAGCGAAGAAAGUUGUCUCUUUUUCAAAGUAAUCCUGAAAAAAGUUAUUUCAAACAAGGUUUACUCAUCACGAGAGCGACUGUUGAUGUCGAGCGAGAAUAAAAAAAGUUUAUGUUGUUGCCAGAAAUAUUUGUUAUAAAGAAGAAAGACGUACGAUAAUAUAACGUCAAAAAGAGAACUGAUUGGAAAUGUAUCAGACAAUUGUAGCUAGCUAUACAUUUUCAAUUUGUUUUCUUUGGGAUGAAGCGAAGUUUAAUAAUCGAAGUAAAAAACUGAUUGGUCUUUUAUCCAGAGACGCUAGCUAACUGAGAAAGCCAAAGAAAGGCAGGUGUGUUGUUUAGUUUAUCUGGUAAAGAGAUAAGUUUAGGUGUGUAACGUUUUUUUUUAACCGUUUUGACUUUCAGAGCUCAGCUUUUCCUUUAAAUUUUUAGUUCCUUGUUGAGUCUUGAGCGUAAAUGCGUUUUCUUUUGACACAAUUUUUAUAAGAAUCUAUAAUGUAAAGCGACGUUUUUAAGUCGUUUACACGCUUCCAGCUAAACUUUCCCUUUAAUAUGAAGUUAAAUAUGUUUUGUCUUUAGCCUGAACAUAUUUAACAUUUUUUGUAAGAAUAUACUCUAAACAAUGGGUCAGAAUAUCCUAAGAAUAUGUCUAAGCUUGGUUGUUUCUUUUAAUAUAAAAAUUUGUAUGACUGAACCUUUUUCUCUCCAAAACAAUGGGCAAGUACACCAGGGAAAGCUAAGAACAUGAAGGCCGAAACGGGGAAAAAAAAACGCUAUUCUUAUAAAAUACAGCGUGUAUAUAAUAGAGAAGAGUUUAUAUAAAAUGUAGAAAGUAUUUUUUCGUUGUUACUGUUUUUAACGCUGCGAAGUGGUUGAUGUCGUUAUAAUAAACCUUAAUGUAAACAAAGUUAAAUCAAUGUUUACAUUUGUUACGUUACCGUGUAAAAUAAUAUUCGAUUCUUCAAUUCGAAAACACUGCAUUGUUAUCAUGCACUGCACGUUUGCGCAUUGGGAAGGUUGCUAUAUGCAAUAGACUAAAUAGCUAAUUUGGUAUGAUGCAUUAGAAUCUGUACGUUGUGGAAACUUUGCAAUAACCUUAUUUGUGUGACUUAUCGAUUUUUUCUAAUGUCUGGUAUACCAUUUUCCCUUUUAUGUUUCGGGUAUGGCAAAGCAAGUAUAUAGUUUUAACAGAUUUGUUAGCCACCUUCGAUUUUGUUAAACUUUUUGCAUUUUUAUUUGUUGCUGGACAUUGUUCUGUUUCAGCGGGUACAAAUAUAAUGCAGAUUGUGAGCAACUUCAAUCCCAGGGUUUUUUUCUCUUUUAUUUUUUUUUUUUAUUGCUGCACAUAUUUAUUUUUUUGGACGUUUUGUUCUAGUGGUUAUAAACUAGAAUAAUACAAAUUGUGACUUUUAAAAAUUCAUAUUACUGUGUUGUAUGUUUUCGUUUGGUAUCCCUUACAUCGGUUUAAUGAGAGAUUCAGUGGAUUCCCCCACGGGUAUUCAGCUAGUAUAUAGAUUAAUACGCCUUGUGUGUGUGUGCGCACGGUGAGGCCACGUCACACAAAUCACAGGUCAUUUUCUUACGACGUGGCGUUACGCUAAAAUUUACCAAGUUAAAGAAAACGCAAAUCAGGGGGUUACUAUAUAAAUAUUUAAUUCUCUUUUCUUAUUUUUUUUUUUAAAUAAAACUCUUUUUCCUUACUCAUUAAAACUAAUUUUUAUUUUAAUUUCAAAUGGUUUAUUUGUUAUUUUGUUGUAAAAGCCCCGCUGGUCGUUUAAGAUAGAAUAAUUAAAUUUUACCCCCGGUUUACCAUGUGCGCGCCGUAUCUCACGGAAACAAAGUUUAUUAACUGAAAAAUGAAAACCGAAGCGAAGAAAGUUGUCUCUUUUUCAAAGUAAUCCUGAAAAAAGUUAUUUCAAACAAGGUUUACUCAUCACGAGGUUAGAUUAAAGCUUAUUUGUUUCUUCUAUCUUUUUUGUGUUCUGGGACCGAAGUUGCUUUCUUUUAAAAAAACUAUCGAAUUCGAAUGAUAAUUCGAAUCUAAGAAGUAAAUAACAAAACUGUUGUCAUUGUAGAGCGACUGUUGAUGUCGAGCGAGAAUAAAAAAGUUUAUGUUGUUGCCAGAAAUAUUUGUUAUAAAGAAGAAAAACGUACGAUAAUAUAACGUCGAAAAGAGAACUGAUUAGAAAUGUAUCAGACAAUUGUAGCUAGCUAUACAUUUUAAUUUGUUUUCUUUGGGAUGAAGCGAAGUUUAAUAAUUGAAGUAAAAAACUGAUUGGUCUUUUAUCCAGAGACGCUAGCUAACUGAGAAAGCCAAAAAAAGGCAGGUGUGUUGUUUAGUUUAUCUGGUAAAGAGAUAAGUUUAGGUGUGUAACGUUUUUUUUUAACCGUUUUAACUUUCAGAGCUCAGCUUUUCCUUUAAAUUUUUAGUUCCUUGUUGAGUCUUAAAUGCGUUUUCUUUUGACACAAUUUUUAUAAGAAUCUAAAAUGUAAAGCGACGUUUUUAAGCCGUUUACACGCUUCCAGCUAAACUUUCCCUUUAAUAUAAAGUUAAAUAUGUUUUGUCUUUAGCCUGAACAUAUUUAACAUUUUUUGUAAGAAUAUACUCUAAACAAUGGGUCAGAAUAUCCUAAGAAUGUCUAAGCUUGGUUGUUUCUUUUGAUAUAAAAAUUUGUAUGACUGAACUUUUUUCUCUCCAAAACAAUGGGCAAGUACACCAGGGAAAGCUAAGAACAUGAAGGCCGAAACGAAAAAAACAAACACUAUUCUUAUAAAAUACAGCGUGUAUAUAAUAGAGAAGAGUUUAUAUAAAAUGUAGAAAGUAUUUUUUCGUUGUUACUGUUUUUAACGCUACGAAGUGGUUGAUGUCGUUAUAAUAAACCUUAAUGUAAACAAAGUUAAAUCAAUGUUUACAUUUGUUACGUUACCGUUUAAAAUAAUAUUCGAUUCUUCAAUUCGAAAACACUGCAUUGUUAUCAUGCACUGCACGUUUGCGCAUUGGGAAGGUUGCUAUAUGCAAUAGACUAAAUAGCUAAUUUGGUAUGAUGCAUUAGAAUCUGUACGUUGUGGAAACUUUGCAAUAACCUUAUUUGUGUGACUUAUCGAUUUUUUCUAAUGUCUGGUAUACCAUUUUCCCUUUUAUAUUUCGGGUAUGACAAAGCAAGUAUAUAGUUUUAACAGAUUUGUUAGCCACCUUCGAUUUUGUUAAACUUUUUGCAUUUUUAUUUGUUGCUGGACAUGCUUAUAUUUUUAAGCGUUCUGCUUCAGCGGGUACAAAUAUAACGCAGAUUGUGAGCAACUUCAAUCCCAGGGUUUUUUUCUCUUUUAUUGUUAUUUUUUUAUUGCUGCACAUAUUUAUAUUUUUGGACGUUUUGUUCUAGUGGUUAUAAACUAGAAUAAUACAAAUUGUGACUUUUAAAGAUUCAUAUUACUGUGUUGUA